rnacentral:lncRNA from 1 species
AGAACCAACAAGAGGGGACUCAUUAACCAACCAGAGGAGCAACUGAAGUGGUUUAAUAAUUAUGUCAAUGGGGACAAAAGGAUCUGUCUUACGUAAAUGGGGAGGGGAAGGGCUGAGAAAUACAAGUUUCUAUUCUUGCAGUCUGCUAGUGGAACAACUAGUGGGGAUGGUCUAUUAACUAAUUGAAUUGCUAGGCUCAAUAGAAAACUCUGAAGGGAGAUCAAAGGGUGUUCCCAGCUACAAAGGCCAGCAGUGACCUUGAACCAGAUGUUUUUCUUCCAACCCUGUCACGCUUGAUAACUGCAGAGGAUGGCAGAAUCUGGCCAGAAGCCUUAUCCAUUCCAACACUGGUUCUAAAGGCAGGGGUUGUGUGUGUGCGCACAGUGUGCUGGCAGGUAUGCACUUUCAUGCCUGACAGUGAGGCCAGAGCACCGUCAGUGCAGAGAGGGCCAGAGUAAGUUUAGCCUGGAAGUCAAAAGUUGUGUUUCUCUUUAUUUAUUUGCAAAGUGAAGAGGCUUAAGGAAUGUGCUGACUGUCAACUUUUCAAAACAUUCCUGUGCCUAAUUGUCUUACUGUUAACUCUGUACAGUCAGAUGAAGGCUACAGCAGUGAGAUUAUAGUUCAACUUUUACCCUAUCUUUUUUUAAUGUUUAGAAUGACAGAGCGAGUAAUCCAAACAAGUAAAAAUUAUUUUAGAUUUUAAAAUUCUUACUUUAUUUAACAUUGGCAUAGUAAGUUCUUUCUUUAUAGCCUAUGAAUUCUGGGAGUGGGACUCAGGUCAUCAGGCCUAGUGGCAAUUGCCUCUAUUGCUGAGACUUCUCUCCAGCUCACAAACAGGAUGUUGAUUUUAGUCAUUUUCCCUGAAAUUGUUUGUUUAUAUCUGUUGCUCAUCUGUUUUAUUUCCAGUUCUGUGUUCUCAGUGUGUGGGUGCAUGUGUGUGUACAUGAGUGUGUGUGUGUGUCUGUCUGUCUGUCUGUGGGUGAGUGUACCUGUGCAUUUCCAAAAGAGGGUAUCAGAUUCCCUGGAACUGGAGUUACAGCUAUUUGUAAACUGCUUGGAAACUAAGCUUGAGUUCUCUAGAAGAGAAAUGGGUCUCUUAACUUCUGAGCCCUCUUGAAGAGCAGUGAGUCUCUUAACUGCUGAGCUAUACCCGCAGCCCUGUUUUUAAACAUCUGGAUAAGCCAUUAUUUAUGCUGAGGCAAAGGUUUUUUUUUGACGUUUCUUUGAAACAUGUUAAUUUAUUAAUACUUAUUUUUCAUGAACUUUCAAAGAUUCCUACAGUCUGAAACACUGAAAAAUUGCAUGUUUAAAAUUGCCUUGAUGUGGCUAGUUUGGUUUGGUCUAAGGUCUUUUUAAAAAUACUGAACUUCAUUCUGUAGUGAUUAUAAAUAUCACCUACUCUGAUAAUACAUCUGAUUGGUAGAAAUGAGGCUCAAGGAUGCUCAGACAAAAUUAGUCUCAGAAAUUUAACUCUUACAGAAGGAAGCUGCCACAAAAUAUGUGGAUGCUUGCAUAUUAACAAAUCUUAAAUUCUCCAUUGAUAGAAACCCAGUGGUUUAUAAAAUUAUAUUUAUUUAUUUAUUUUUGAAUAUACUUGUGACAUGAUAUACCUAUGAAAGUGUAAGGAUAAGUUUUGGCAGCCAGUUGUCUCUUUCCACCUCACAGAUCAAGUUAACAAACAAAUAGGUUUGGUGGCAAUUGCCUUUACCCUAUGAGACAGCCAUGUCAUAGGCUCUAACAUAUAAGGUUUUUCUUUCUUUUUCUAAAGGUAGGUUUCUCCCCCCCCCAUUAUAACUAGAAUUAAAAUGUGGCUUCCCACUAUCUUUGUGUCUAUGUAUGUAUUUAAAUAGAAUAACUGAUACAUAAUGCAUAUUAGUAAUUAUGUAAUUAAUAGAUGAUGCAUGAACAUAUGUGUAUGUGUGUGUUCAGAUAAUUUCCUGCAAAUAUAAUUUGAUAGAGUAG